rnacentral:rRNA from 1 species
AUACGGAGGGUGCAAGCGUUACUCGGAAUCACUGGGCGUAAAGCGCGCGCAGGCGGCUUGAUAAGUUGGAUGUGAAAGCCUAUGGCUCAACCGUAGAACUGCAUCCAAAACUGUCAGGCUAGAGUGUGGGAGAGGAAGAUGGAAUUAGUUGUGUAGGGGUAAAAUCCGUAGAGAUAACUAGGAAUACCAAAAGCGAAGGCAAUCUUCUGGAACACUACUGGCGCUGAGGCGCGAAGGCGUGGGGAGCAAACAGGAUUAGAAACCCCAGUAGUCC